GCACUCGUAGCUCAGUUGGAUAGAGUACAGCCCUCCGAAGGCUGGGGUCGCAGGUUCGACUCCUGCCGGGUGCACCA
rnacentral:tRNA from 1 species